AUUGAACGCUGGCGGCAGGCCUAACACAUGCAAGUCGAGCGAGCGGCGGACGGGUGAGGAAGGGCUGGUAACCUGCGUGAUGGAGAGGGAUAACUACUGGAAAAGGUAUCUAAUCCCGCAUACAAUCAGAUGUGCCCAGAGGGAAAUAGCUAGUGGGUGGGGUAACGGCUCACCUAGGCGACGAUCCCUAGCUGGUCUGAGAGGAUGAUCAUCCACACUGGGACUGAGACACGGUCCAGACUCCUACGGGAGGCAGCAGUGGGGAAUAUUGCACAAUGGGCGAAAGCCUGAUGCAGCAAUGCCGCGUGGGUGAAGAAGGUCUUCGGAUUGUAAAGCUCGUUCGUCGGGGAGGCGUUAUCUGCAGAAGAAGCACCGGCUAACUACGUGCCAGCAGCCGCGGUAAUUC
rnacentral:rRNA from 1 species